GACGAACGCUGGCGGCGUGCCUAACACAUGCAAGUCGAACGGAAAGGCCCUGCUUGCAGGGUACUCGAGUGGCGAACGGGCGAGUAACACGUGGGUGAUCUGCCCUGCACUUCGGGAUAAGCCUGGGAAACUGGGUCUAAUAACGGCUAGGAGCGAUUAUCAGUGUGAGUGUUGGAAAGGUUUUUCGGUGUAGGAUGAGCUCGCGGCCUAUCAGCGUGUUGGUGGGGUAACGGACUACGAAGGCGGCGACGGGUAGCCGGCCUGAGAGGGUGGACGACCACAUUGGGACUGAGAUACGGCCCAGACUCCUACGGGAGGCAGCAGUGGGGAAUAUUGCACAAUGGGCGCAAGCCUGAUGCAGCGACGCCGCGUGGGGGAUGACGGCCUUCGGGUUGUAAACUCCUUUCGCUAGGGACGAAGCUUUUGUGACGGUACCUAGAUAAGAAGCACCGGCUAACUACGUGCCAGCAGCCGCCGUAA
rnacentral:rRNA from 1 species